rnacentral:lncRNA from 1 species
CUUUGAACUUGUGAUCCUCAGCCUCCCUGUCUUUUGUCUUUUUGAUAGGAGAAACAGUUGUGUUCCCUUUAUUUGGAGUCCACAGUUGUUUUGAAGCAUAAUUGGGGUGAACACCAAUGCCUCUGCAUAUCUACUCCUGGUCUGUUUCUUAAUGUUCUUGUCCCUCACAUCAGAUGUUAGGAUCUUUAAGAUAAUGACUUGAGGUAGCUUUAAAACAUAUCCAAAAAUUCUUAAGACACUCCAUCCACUGAAAGGUAGAGUUUAUGUCUUCUUCCACCCUGAACCCAGGCAUAUUGAUAGCCAGAUUUCCAUCAGAGUGUGAUGGAAAAUAAUGUGUGAAUUCUAAGACGAAAUCUGAAAAUAUGCUGCAGCUUCUACUGUGUUUGCUGAACACUUGAUUUUAGAAUCUUGAGCUGCAGUGGAAUGUCAGAUCCCAGGCUCGUAUGGCCUGUAUGGAUCUGUAUGAGUUGGUAUGUAUGUAAGCUAGAUAUGUGUGCUCUGGUAGACAAGACCUGCAAUGUCUUAGCAGACAGCCAGCCUCAGACACCAGACAUAGGAGUGAAGAUCUUCCACAGGAAUCCAGCCCCUAGCAGUUGGGUCUUCCAGACUUCCCAGCUAAGGCCCCAGAUAUCAUGGAGAGUGGAGACAAACCUUUUCUUUCAUCCCUUCUGAAUUCCCGAC